AUUGAACGCUGGCGGCGUGCUUAACACAUGCAAGUCGAUCGGUAACGCGGGGGCAACCCUGGCGACGAGAGGCGGACGGGUGAGGAACGCGUGGGGAUCUGCCUAUCAGAGGGGGACACCACGGGGAAACUCGGGCUAAUACCGCAUACGCUCUACGGAGGAAAGCAGGGGACCGCAAGGGCGGGCACUGAGAGGUGAGCCCAAACCGGAUUAGCUAGGUGGGGGGGGAACGGCCCACCAAGGCGACGAUCCGUAGAUGGUCUGAGAGGAGGAUCAGCCACAUUGGAACUGAGACACGGUCCAGACUCCUACGGGAGGCAGCAGUGGGGAAUAUUGGACAAUGGGGGAAACCCUGAUCCAGCGACGCCGCGUGGGUGAAGAAGGCCUGCGGGUUGUAAAGCCCUUUCGGUAGGGACGAAAGCUCUCGACCUAACACGUCGGGAGGUUGACUUAACCUACAAAAGAAGCACCGGCUAACUCUGUGCCAGCAGCCGCCGUAAGAC
rnacentral:rRNA from 1 species